GUCUCUGUGGUGCAAUUGGUUAGCGAGUUUGGCUGUCAACUGAAAGGUUGGAGGUUCAAGCCCACCUAGUGACG
rfam:Danio rerio chromosome 4, GRCz11 reference primary assembly.